rnacentral:rRNA from 1 species
UACGUAGGGGGCUAGCGUUGUCCGGAUUUAUUGGGCGUAAAGAGCGUGUAGGCGGUCCGGUAAGUCCGCUGUGAAAGUCGGGGGCUCAACCCUCGAAUGCCGGUGGAUACUGUCGGGCUAGAGUGCGGAAGAGGCGAGUGGAAUUCCUGGUGUAGCAGUGAAAUGCGUAGAUAUGUGGGCGGAACACCGAUGGCGAAGGCAGCCCCCCUGGGCUGAGAUUGACGCUCAGGCACGAAAGCGUGGGGGAGCAAACAGG